rnacentral:lncRNA from 1 species
UGUGAGCGUGAUGAGUAGAGGCAAAUAUACUUGUAUGAAGUCCAGACUGCAGCAGUAACUUUUGCCUUGUAUUUGUAUCCAUUCCAUGCAGUCAUUAAAAGAGAGACAACUGGCUGAAUUGUGUCCAGAGCCUUAUCUUCCACCUACACCUUACCAGAACACAAUGCAGAAAGGUACCAGUGCAGAACCGGUUACAUGCGCUAUCGGGCAAAAACUAUGGGGCAAAACAGACAAGGUUGGCUUAGAUUGUUGACAACAUGAAAACUGUAUUUCGUCUCCAAAUGUUUAUUGUUAACAUUAAUUCAUUUGCACAAUGAGCACUUGUUGUCUCUCAAAUACAUCAUUACGGUUGUUGGUUAGAUAGUUAGUGAAUUUUUGCCAUAUUAGCAUUGACAUGACAUAAGUCAAAACACCUCCAAACAAG